rnacentral:miRNA from 1 species
AUUAGCAUCUGCCUGGGCAGA